UACGGGGGGGGCAAGCGUUGUUCGGAAUUACUGGGCGUAAAGGGCUCGUAGGCGGCCAACUAAGUCAGACGUGAAAUCCCUCGGCUUAACCGGGGAACUGCAUCUGAUACUGGAUGGCUUGAGUUCGGGAGAGGGAUGCGGAAUUCCAGGUGUAGCGGUGAAAUGCGUAGAUAUUGGGAGGAACACCGGUGGCGAAGGCGGCUUUCUGGUCCGAAACUGACACUGAGAUGCGAAAGCCAGGGGAGCAAACGGG
rnacentral:rRNA from 1 species